CCAGCCCCAGGCAGAAGGAGGGAAAUUAAGCUUCACCUCUUCAAGGAAGGAGAUCAAAGAAAUUGUGGUCAUCUGUUUAAAAACAGAACACUCCUCUUUCCAAAAAGAAGACGAUGCACAAAGAAGUGCAGGGAUGAGGCCAUGGACAUCUUUGGGGGCCAUUAUGCAGCCUACCACAGAUGCCAAGUGGCUUCCCUGAACUGUGAUAGAACCACCUAGAUCGUCAACAGGGUAUAAAAGAGAACUAGCCAGAGGGUUUGGGUUCAGGGACAGGACCCCAGACUCUGAGAAGCACUGACAAGACCACCUCGGAGUCCCUGAGACAGGACUAGCAGCACAAUGAAAUCCAGCUGCCCAGAAAAAGAAACAGUGUGCUAAAGGUGAGACACAUCUAGCUGUCCGGGUCCAUGGAGGAAAGCCUCACCUGGCUGAUUCCUGUCUUCCUCAUCAUCAGGCAGGCAUCAUCCCAUCCCUUAAGGGCCUGAAUAGACCAAAAACGUGGAGAAAGGAUGAAUUUGCUCUCUGCUUGAGCUGGGACAUCUAUCUUCUCCUGCCCUCCAGUAUCUGUGCUCCUGG